UUAAUUGAAGCCAAAAUUGAGGCAUAUUACUGUUAAUAAUAUAAUUGAACUUUCUGUUCCAAUUAAG
rnacentral:tRNA from 1 species